AGAUUGAACGCUGGCGGCAUGCCUUACACAUGCAAGUCGAACGGUAGAGUAGCAAUACUUGAGAGUGGCGAACGGGUGAGUAAUAUAUCGGAGCGUGCCCAGUCGUGGGGGAUAACGUAGAGAAAUUUACGCUAAUACCGCAUACGAUCUAAGGAUGAAAGCGGGGGACUCGCGAAGAGCCUCGCGCGAUUGGAGCGGCUGAUAUCAGAUUAGGUGUUGGUGAGGUAAAGCUCACCAAGCCGACGAUCUGUAGCUGGUUGAGAGAACGACCGAGCCACACGUCGGGACUGACGACGACGGCUCAGACCUCCGUACGGGAGGCAGCAGGUGGGGAAUAGUUAGGAC
rnacentral:rRNA from 1 species